CAAAAUUCGUUGAAGAGAACAAUGUCUGUUAUUGAUUUAUUUUCAGAGAGCCUGUGGCUGGUGUAAACAGGUAAUAGUCAUAUCAGGAUAUCCUCUCUAAGAAGCGGGCUGAAAGCAGAGCUGUAUAUGCUGUGCUGGUAAACCUCGCCGGGCUCCACCGUUAUAUGGAUAGCAUAUGCUGGUAUGUAAAGUGCUGUAGUGAUACUGCAGAAUCAGGGUGGUAACGCGGAUUAUAUUCGUCCCUUUU
rnacentral:ncRNA from 1 species